rnacentral:rRNA from 1 species
GACGAACGCUGGCGGCGUGCUUAACACAUGCAAGUCGAACGAAGUGGCGAACGGGUGAGUAACGCGUAAUCAACCUGCACUUCAGAGGGGGAACACAGUUGGAAACGACUGCUAAUACCGCAUACUGAAGGAGGGGAUUGCGUCUGAUUAGCUAGGUGGAGGGGUAACGGCCCAACAAGGCGAUGAUCAGUAGGCGGUCUGAGAGGGUGAACGGCCAAAAUGGGACUGAGACACGGCCCAGACUCCUACGGGAGGCAGCAGUGGGGAAUCUUCCGCAAUGGAGGAAAGUCUGACGGAGGAACGCCGCGGGAGGGAUGACGGCCUUCGGGUUGUAAAGCUCUGUUAAUCGGGACGCGGUACCGGAAUAGAAAGCCACGGCUAACUACGUGCCAGCAGCCGCGGUAAUAC